GAAAAAAAAAAAAAAAAAAAAAAAAAAAAAAAAA
rnacentral:ribozyme from 13 species